GCAUUUAACUAGAGCAUUUUAUUUUCAAGGGAAAUAAUUGUGGUCUGACUGUAUUAUUUUGAAAAUCACAGUUGAGAUUUUUUUAUGUGUGCACCGGUACAGUUUUGCGGGGAAGCGAAAGUUGACAUGGAAUUUUGUCUUCUUCUAAAAACAAGUGUCUGAUACAUGCAGUUGCAGUCUGUCUUUGGAAGCUGUAGAAAUAACAAGAAAGAGGCUGACAUAGUGUUUUGGUAGGGAAAAGUUUGAGUAUGUACAUGUACAGUUGUUUGACCUUUCUUACCCUGUGGCAGUCCAAGAAGAUGUUACCAUUAUGAAAAAUGCAGGAGAACUUGAAGACAAUUGUUAGUGUAGAAGGGACAUAAAAGUUAUGACAAAAGUAACAGAUAUAAAUAAGCUCAGUUGAAGGAGAUGAAGUUUGAACAAGGCACAGUGAAAAUUGCAGACUCGGUUUGAUUGAGUCUGUUCAUGAGCAGUAAUGGAAAAUGCAACACUGCCCACGCCCCCUAGCACCGGCUUAAGCAGUAUUCAAUCUUCAAAUCUAAAUGAGUUGAAAUCAAUGAUCCCGAAGGACCAGAUAAUAUAACAACACUGAGAUGAAGUCGGGGCGACUUUUUACGGCCGCCACACAGCACUUAACACCCGCUGUUGUGAAGUAAAUAUAAUCUGAAAAGUAGAUCCCUCGGAAGCAACAUACAUUGAUUUUCUGACAGUCAUGUGUUAUUACAUUUGAACUCAGACUGUUUUAUAAUCAGUUUUGGUAGGGAAAAGUUUGAGUAUGUACAUGUACAGUUGUUUGACCUGUCUUACCCUGUGGCAGUCCAAGAAGAUGUUACCAUUAUGAAAAAUGCAGGAGAACUUGAAGACAAUUGUUAGUGCAGAAGGGACAUAAAAGUUAUGACAAAAGUAACAGAUAUAAAUAAGAAGUGCUACAAGUGUGUUGUCAUGUGAAAUGGAAUUUACCCCAACUGUGCUGCAAGAUGUAUAUUCAAGUGCAAGACAGCCAUGCACCAGCUGUAAACUGAGAUGGACCCAUAUAAUAAAUAUGUUGACUUUUCUAUGUAUUAUCAUCUGUACAGAAUGUGUUCAUGGCAAGACUGUAUACAUAUAUUGUUAAAUCAUUUUUUAUUUCCAUUAUUGCAUGCAUGUAAGAAGCAAGCAUUUAACAAUUGCAUUCAUAGAAGUGUUAAAAUGUGAUCAAUCUAAUUUAAAGAAACACAUUUGAUUGGACUUUUUAAGUUUCAUAGUAUUUGUGGUGGAGACUGACCCAGUCAUUCAGCAACUUAUACUGUCUGUGUGUCAUUUCUUGUAUGUUAUAGUUUUCUUAAUAAUACAUUAAAUGUCAAAGUUAUGGUAAGAUGAACUCAUUCAUCACUUGUAGAUUAAUGUUAAAGCAGUUCAACAUUUUACCAUAAGUUAACUAAUAUUCUAUUUAACCAGAGUUGUCACAUAUUUUCAUAUAAAUAUUUGUAUAAUACAGUCUAAUCUUAUCUACAUAUGAUGUUCCACAAUUUUUAGUUAUAUUUUAUGUUGAUAUUUUAUGUUGUUUUCAUGUCUCAACAUAUAAUUACUAACAUCAAAGAAACUUAAGUAUUUUACAAUUUGGUUGGUAUAAAUGGUUGUUUUGUUUAUAUAUUUUAUUUUUUUCCAUCCAGGAGAAUAAAGAAAUAUACAUUUCAAAAUAUCUCAUCAUUCUAGAUAAGUACACUACAUAAUCAAGAUAAAAGAAAUAAGAACAAAAUAUGUUGGUGGAAUUUUAUUUUCAAAAAUUUGAUAUACAGUCUUUGUAGUAUUUACUUCUUUAGAUAUGUUGGACUGAAAUGGGAAUAACAACAUACUUUAAAUUUUUGUUGUCAUAAGUUAAUAUAGGAAUUAUUAACUUAACUUAAAAAGAUUUUAUCUCACUGUUAUGCAAUCUGAGCUUUAAUAUUUUUCAACAUUGUCAUUGGCAACAAGGCUCAAAAUUAUUUGUUGUGUAUACCUUGCAUUCAUGUGUGAUAAAUGCUUUUAUGGUAUUCUUUAAUAUAAUAUAUGCUUUUCAUCUUACCAUGGAUUAAAAAAAUAUAAAUUUAUUUGUCUGAAAAUUAAGGUAAAAAUACUGACUGAUUAAAUUGCAAUAUAAGAAAGCUUAUUUGAGAUAAAGGGAGGUAAUUCCAUAAAAAAUAUGUAGAAUGUAGAUGAUAAAUGUAAUGAAGGGAGGUAAUA